GACAAAGGAAACUUACAAAGUGACGUGUACGGCUCAGAUCAAAAGGCAUUGGACGGCUAAGAUGUUGGCGGAAAUCUUAAACCAUUUACUGACCCAUUCAGAAAUUCAAACCCCAUUUACUACCCACUUAGAAUUUAGUUAGAAAUUGAAACCGGAGUAGAAGAGAAGCGAAAAUUCUGAAAUUAGGGCGGCAAAAAACGAAGCGGGAUUCCGAUUGAUUUUCACGUUGCUUGUUUCAUCGACGAAUCCGACAUUGAACGUGAUUGCUCCUCCAGUCCAUCUUCUCCAUCUCCGAAACCGAGUAUGGUAUGAAUUUUUGGUUGGAAUUUAGUUGUUUAAUUUGAGCUGAAACUUUAGUCACCAAUUAUAUGUAUAGAAUGUUAAGCAUUGCUGGGCAUGGAAAUUUCAGAAUUUUGGUUGGAAUUUUGUUGAAGGUUUAAGCUGAAAUUUUUAAUCACCGGUCACCAGUACCUAUAUCUUUCACGUCUCGGUCUCUCUUACAAAAUAUUCCAAAAUUUAUUUCCAGUAAUGCAUGAUUGUUCUCUAGCAUCACCCUUUUGUGCAUUACCAGGUGAGAAGGGUUCUAAAAGGUCGGGGAAAGUUUAUUUGUCUUACCUUAGCAAAUCACGUAGGAGUGGUGAUUUUCCAUAGUUUAUAUAUGAUGAAUAUUUUUAUAUUUUUCUGUUCCCUAAUGUAUUCAUAAUUAUAAUUAACAUCAUUUGCAUAACGGCUAAUGCAGAGAGUUAAGUUUUGUUUUCAUUAUAUGAAAUUCUUGCAGAACUACAAUUUUCGGCAAAUGCUCAGCUCCCGCAGUCUCUUUGUGCUUCCGGCGUCGUCACAUCUCUGGCAAUCGCUCAACUCCAGUACUAUUAGGGGCUAAAUAACGAAGAAGAGCUCUUGAUUUUUGUGAAUGUGAAUGUGAAUGUGAAUGUGGCAGUUAGCUAGGGAAAAUGGACGAACAUGGCAUGAUUAGUGGGUUAUGUCGAACUAGUUAUGUUAAGUUAAAUAGCUGCAAGGUCAAAAUCUUAAUUUGUUAUUUUAGUGUAGUGCAAUGAAUUGGUAGAUUUUGGUUGAAAUGGAUGACUUACUUCAGGUACCUUGUCUUACUAGCACAUUGAAUGUUUGGUUAAUUAUAAUAACAAG
rnacentral:lncRNA from 1 species